rnacentral:siRNA from 1 species
GGAACGGAUGUGUUGAUUCGGGA